rnacentral:rRNA from 1 species
GACGAACGCUGGCGGCGUGCUUAACACAUGCAAGUCGAGCGGUAAGGCCCUUUCGGGGGUACGACGAGCGGCGAACGGGUGAGUAACACGUGGGUGACCUGCCCUCAGCUCUGGGAUAAGCCUGGGAAACCGGGUCUAAUACUGGAUAUGACUCCAUGACGCAUGUUGUGGGGUGGAAAGCCUUGUGCGGCUGAGGAUGGGCCCGCGGCCUAUCAGCUUGUUGGUGGGGUGGAUGGCCUACCAAGGCGACGACGGGUAGCCGGCCUGAGAGGGCGACCGGCCACACUGGGACUGAGACACGGCCCAGACUCCUACGGGAGGGCAGCAGUGGGGAAUCUUGCGCAAUGGGCGAAAGCCUGACGCAGCGACGCCGCGUGAGGGAUGACGGCCU